UACGUAGGCAGCAAGCGUUGUUCGGAAUUACUGGGCGUAAAGAGUGUGUAGGUGGUUUCGUAAGUUUGGUGUGAAAUCUCCCGGCUUAACUGGGAGGGUGCGCCGAAGACUGCGAUGCUGGAGUAUGGGAGAGGAAAGCGGAAUUCCUGGUGUAGCGGUGAAAUGCGUAGAUAUCAUGAGGAAGACCAGUGGCGAAGGCGGAUCUCUGGACAGUUCCUGACACUGAGGCACGAAGGCCAGGGGAGCAAACGGG
rnacentral:rRNA from 1 species